UACGGAGGGGGCUAGCGUUGUUCGGAAUUACUGGGCGUAAAGCGCGCGUAGGCGGCUUUGUAAGUUAGAGGUGAAAGCCCGGAGCUCAACUCCGGAAUUGCCUUUAAGACUGCAUCGCUAGAAUCAUGGAGAGGUGAGUGGAAUUCCGAGUGUAGAGGUGAAAUGCGUAGAGAUGUGGAGGAACACCAGUGGCGAAGGCGACUUUCUGGCCUAUAACUGACGCUGAGGCGCGAAAGCGUGGGGGAGCAAACAGG
rnacentral:rRNA from 1 species